UGGGGAAUCUUGGACAAUGGGGGCAACCCUGAUCCAGCGACGCCGCGUGGGUGGUAAGGCCUUCGGGUUGUAAAGCCCUUUCAGCGGGGAAGAUGAUGACAUUACCCGCAGAAGAAGCGCCGGCUAACUCCGUGCCAGCAGCCGCGGUAAUACGGAGGGGGUUAGCGUUGUUCGGAAUUACUGGGCGUAAAGCGCGCGUAGGCGGAUCAGAAAGUUGGGGGUGAAAUCCCGGGGCUCAACCCCGGAACUGCCUUCAAAACUCCUGGUCUAGAGUUCGAGAGAGGUGAGUGGAAUUCCGAGUGUAGAGGUGAAAUUCGUAGAUAUUCGGAGGAACACCAGUGGCGAAGGCGGCUCACUGGCUCGAUACUGACGCUGAGGUGCGAAAGGGUGGGGAGCAAACAGGAUUAGAUACCCCUGUAGUCC
rnacentral:rRNA from 1 species